rnacentral:rRNA from 1 species
AACGAACGCUGGCGGCAUGCCUAACACAUGCAAGUCGAACGAGACCUUCGGGUCUAGUGGCGCACGGGUGCGUAACGCGUGGGAAUCUGCCCUUGGGUUCGGCAUAACAGUUGGAAACGACUGCUAAUACCGGAUGAUGACGUAAGUCCAAAGAUUUAUCGCCCAAGGUUGAGCCCGCGUAGGAUUAGCUAGUUGGUGAGGUAAAGGCUCACCAAGGCGACGAUCCUUAGCUGGUCUGAGAGGAUGAUCAGCCACACUGGGACUGAGACACGGCCCAGACUCCUACGGGAGGCAGCAGUGGGGAAUAUUGGACAAUGGGCGAAAGCCUGAUCCAGCAAUGCCGCGUAAGUGAUGAAGGCCUUAGGGAUGUAAAGCUCUUUUACCCGGGAUGAUAAUGACAGUACCGGGAGAAUAAGCUCCGGCUAACUCCGUG